GUAAGGGAAGUCGGCAAAUUAGAUCCGUAACUUCGGGAUAAGGAUUGGCUCUGAAGAUUGAGAUGGUCGGGCUUGAUUGGGAAACAAUAUAAUGGUUAUAUGCUCGUUCUGGGUAAAUAGAAAUUUUCGGAUUUUGUUCCCCGGAUAGUAGUUAUGUAACCAAUUGUGGAACUUUCUUGCUAAUAAUUUUUAAAUGCACUUGUGUAUUUAUUAAUUUAUAACGGCCAUCAAUUAACAAUCAAUUCAGAACUGGCACGGACUUGGGGAAUCCGACUGUCUAAUUAAAACAAAGCAUUGUGAUGGUCCUAACGGAUGUUGACACAAUGUGAUUUCUGCCCAGUGCUCUGAAUGUCAAAGUGAAGAAAUUCAAGUAAGCGCGGGUAAACGGCGGGAGUAACUAU
rnacentral:ncRNA from 1 species